GGAGCCUAGUGAAUGUGCACUGCCUCUGGAGGAGCUUGCUCCAAAACCAGUGAUGGAUGCCAUUUCACUUUCUGCCUUUUUUCAUAAAAGUGAAAAUCCUCUUCUGAUUUCAUUCAGUCAGAGAAAACAGGUACAAAUGCUAGGUCUUUCAUAAAAAGUGAAGUGGCAUAAAGCGAACUUUUGAAAAGUGCUGGGGUUACCUGUAUUGGUUUAUUUGUUGUCUUUCAAAUCUUUUGGAAUAAUUCUCAAAAGCCUUCCUAAGUUAUUACUGCAUUUUACCCUUUGAAUUCAAAGUUGGAAUUUGGUCCAAAAAACAGUGGUCAACCAAGUGGAUAAAAAGGAAUUUAUAGAUCAUCUGAAGAUAUGAUACAUCCACUUUCCCCAUUAUCUUGUUUAUUAGUUGAUUCCAACUGAUUACUGCUCCCUGAACAAUCUCAUGCAAUUACCAACUAGGAAUAUUUCGCAGUUUCAUAUACAGGCAUUACCACAAAUCUUCAAAUUUUAACAAUUGCUAUUUUCUUUAAAAUUUUUUUUUAACAUUUAUUUAUUUUUGAAAGAGAGCGUGAGCAGAGGAGGGGCAGAGAGGGGGAGACACAGAAUCAGAAGCAGGCUCUAGGCUCUGAGCUGUCACCACAGAGCCCAAUGUGGGGCUCGAACCCACAAGCUGGGAGAUCUUGACCUGAGCUGAAGUUGGAUGCUUAACCUACUGAGCCACCCAGGUGCCCCUAACAAUUGCUCUUUUAAUCACAGGAUUGCAUUGAGUGAUAGGAAGUCUUGGCUAUAUUGUUUUCUCCAAAGUAGUUUACUUGGUGAUCCCAGGCUAGUCACUUUUACCCCAUUUUCCUUAUUUGUGAACCAGGGUAAUGCCACAUGCCUACUCACAAGCAUGUGGUGAGGAUUAAUUAGAUAAAUAUCAGCAGAGCCCUCUGAGCUCUUUAGGAUUGAGGUGUUUAUCCAUCCGAGGUAUUAUUAUCAUUAUCAUGCCAUUCUACUUUGAUCAUAAAUAAAACUCACGGUUGAUAAAGACAGAAAAGGUUUUGUUGGCUUGCCAAAUCCCACCCACCACCUCUCAAACUAGCCGGGCAAGACUGAGUGAGUCCCUUGACAGAAGACAUAUAAUGGAUUAAACUGAUACUUCACUUGAUCAUAGCCAAAAGGUUUGUGUUAAUGAGCUUAAUAGUAUUUACUUGGUGGGUAUCCAGAACAGCUGUCCUCUUUUGUUGCAGGUGCCAGAACCAAAGCCAAAGCAAGUCUGGAUUUAGCAAAUCCAAUUACUUUUCAGGAUUUGCUCCCUUCCAAGACAGCACUUAUCAUAAUCACUCGUUGGUAAUAGAUACCCUGUUAAAUUGAUAGUGGAUACCCAUAACCAGAUUCAGGGAUCUAUUUUCUUUCUUAAAAACACUAUUCUAACUACACUGUUCUAACUAUGUAAUAAGGCUUAUCUAGACAUGUUUUACAUUUAGAGUGAAAGUUUGGCUUUGAUUAUGAUAACACCAAACAACUAAUUCCAGAUUUUCUUGAUUUGAUAACACCCCUACAAGAAUUGCAUUUUAAUUGUUUCUGAGCUUCCAGAUAUUUCUUGAUUGAUUUUUUUUUGUCUGCAGGAGCAAAAGGGAAUUCAGAGGACAUCCUAAUUAAAAAUGAAAAUGGAUCAUCACACAAGUAGCUUAUUAUGAGAUGUAAAACUCCAUGGAAAAUGAAUAUAAUCUUUCUCAAGCAGGGGAAACCUCACGCUCCACUCACCGGGACCAGACCUCAGCCCAACCUGCCUCCAUUGCCUGUGAUUUGUGUGGAUGUAGAGCAAGUGGGGUUUGGAGGGGACCAUACACAGGGCUGCACGAACACGAGAAAGAGGAGAAUGCUGACUGACCUUGGAAGGUGGCCGAAGCUUCCAGACCCCGGGUGUUAUCAGGACUACUGAGAAUCAUCACACAGAGUCUGUCUUCGACAAACUGAAAACAAAAGGAAAAGAAUUUCAGGUAGGAAAAAAAUUCAACAUAUAUGCUACUUGGAUAUACAUAUUUUUAUGACUCUCAUUAAAACUUUCUCUGAAAAUUGCUGAUUUUAUAGCUAAACACAUGAAAGAUAUAAGUCAAUCUUUCUUUAUUAAUUCUGUAUUGAUGCAUGGUAUUCUGGAUAUGGUGGUAUUCUUAACAUCAAUUUGAAUUUAUAGUAAUUUUUCAUCAGGGCAUUAUAUUACAGCUUGGGCACUAUGGUCACCUCACUGACAGAUCAAACUAGAAUAUUUAGAUGGAAAGGGUAGUCAAGGAAGUGCAACCAUUACUAAUGUCAUUCAGUUUGGGGAUAAAUGUCCUUUAUAUGGUUCAAGAGAAUCUCAGGCCAAAACCUUUUUUGAAAGUGCUAUUGUUUAUUUUUCUCUGGGGCACAAAAUCAAUGUGCUAUUUCUCCAUUUCAGACUGCUACAUUAAAAUGUCAUGACAUAUGUGUUUAAAAUGUAAAAUCUAUAAAAAAAGAAAAAAAUCCACUUAAUGUUGAUGAUAUUCUACUUUCACCCUUUCUUCAUGGUACAAAAAGUUGUCCUUUUUCUUUUAUUCAUGACUAAGUUUAUAUGUCAUUUAUUUACAGAUGCAUAUGGAGAAUGCCCCCUCCUUUCUACUUGGGCAGGGAGGGGACAGAGUGAUCCUUUAGCAGGCAGUCUUGUUUACAGGUUCUGAAAGGUGAUUUUUCUUCCUCUACCUCCUGUGAGAGACUGCUUGACUUUAUACUUGAUCACUUAUUUGCUUUUUAGCUAUUCAGAUGUUUGAACACAUCUGAUACAAAAAUAUAAAAGGUCUAUAUAGGCUAUAUAUAGACUGAUUCAAAUUGAUGUUUCUAAAUAGCCACACUGAAACUAAGAUUUAAUUUCUGUUCCUUCUUCAACUGGUGCCGGUCAAAUGAACUGAGGUAAUA